UCAGUGGAAGUGCUCUCUGGAUUGUUGGGUGACAACGAGGGGGCCAGGCUUAAGGUUGUGGCCAUUGGUGGGCUAGGCGGGGUCGGCAAGACCACGCUUGCCAAAGAGGUCUACUCUAAGCUGAGAGGACAGUUUGAGUGCCAUGCUUUUGUGGGGGCAUCGCGAAGGCCUGACAUGAGGAAACUUCUCACAAACUUGCUCUUGCAAGUCCGGCGGAGCCAGCCCGUACCUACGAGGUGACUGAUCUCAUCAACGAAAUCAGGGCGCAUCUGCGGUAUCGGAAGUACUUCAUUAUAAUUGAUGAUUUAUGGCCUUCAUCUACCUGGCAUAUUUUCAACGCCGCUUUUCCAGAUGGUGAUCAUGGCAGUAGGAUACUCGUAACUACAGAAGUCGAUAGUGUGGCUCAAGAAUGGUGUGAUCAUAACUUCAAGUGUGUUUUUAAUAUGGAACCACUGAAUGAUGAGGCUUCAAGCGAAUUAUUUCUCAGUAGAG